rnacentral:rRNA from 1 species
UACGUAGGGUGCGAGCGUUGUCCGGAAUUAUUGGGCGUAAAGAGCUUGUAGGCGGUCUGUCGCGUCUGCUGUGAAAAUCCGGGGCUCAACCCCGGACUUUGCAGUGGGUACGGGCAGACUAGAGUGUGGUAGGGGAGACUGGAAUUCCUGGUGAUAGCGGUGAAAUGCGCAGAUAUCAGGGAGGAACACCGGUGGGCGAAGGCUGGUUC